GUUUUAUAUAAUUUUUCGUGCAUUAUAAUUAUUAUACUGUUGUACAUUUCUCACUGAAUAGAUGUUUGUCUUUAAAAUACUGUUUCACAUUUUUUAAACUGAAAUCAGUGUCAUGAAAAACACCGGUGAAUUUCUGCAUCAUGCCCUGCUGUAAUGAAUGAACCGCAACAAUUAUGUUUUUCCAAGUCAAGACUUUAAGGUUUGACUGAGGAAUAUACAUUUUUGAAAUGAGUGUAUGAGCCUUAUCCUUCAACACAAGAAAUUCAGAAAGCCUGUUAUUGCAUUAUGAAUGUCCAUGUAGAUGAAUUUGAGCUUCAGCUGUUAAAUCCCAGCCGUACUGUACAGACUUCGAUCAGUCCCCUCAUGAUUGUUAUCUUCAGGACUGAGGUGAAAGCUGGAGCAGGUGAUGUGAUUCUGAAGGAAGCACAAAGAAAGAGUUGGGUUGUAUUUGAUACAUGUUUGUAUGUUUCAGCCGUUGAGAGGACGAUGGCAAUCCUGCAGCUCUACAGACUCAUCAAUUCGUCUCUGCUCCUCAGCCAGCGGCCUCUGAACGUCUCGGCCGAGCAGACGGUGUACAGCAGCUGCGCAGACAUGCCCGCCGCGCUCAUCUUCUACCUGGUGCUGCAGCUCAUCAACAUGUUCCUGGGCAUCCCGGCCAACAUCAUGGUUCUGUGGCUCAUUCUUAAGAACAAGGGCGACUCGUCCACCUCCGACAUCUUCAUCGUCCAACUGGCCGUGCUGGACGUGUUCUUCUGCCUCAUUCCUCCGCUGGAGCUGGCCAACAUCGUCUACCUGAGCACCAGCAGCACCUGGUACGUCCUGCGCUUCUUCUACGGCAUCAAAGACUCGUCGCCGCUCUUCUUGUCCUGCAUCUGUCUGGACAGAUAUAUGGCCGUGCUGCAUCCCAUCACCUUCACUGAGCUCAAGGACAAGCGGCAUCGCUCCGUCUGCGCCGCCGGCGUCUGGUUCCUCACUUUGGUCUACGCCGCAGCCAAGUGUGUGGGAAACAUCCCCAACUUCGACAAGGUGUUCACCGUCAUGAUCCUGGCGGCGUUUGCGUUCAUGCUCUUCUGUAACGUCUCCAUUCUCUGGGCUCUGAGACAGUCGGCUCCAGGUCGAGACAAGAGACACCCGGUCAAGAAGAAGGCCUUCAAGAUGGUCCUCAUCAUCUUGGCCAUCA
ensembl:lncRNA